rnacentral:rRNA from 1 species
GACAGAGGUGCCGAGCGUUAGGCGGAAUCACUGGGCUUAAAGCGUGUGUAGGCGGACUUCUAAGUACCUUGUGAAAUCCCACAGCUCAACUGUGGAACUGCUCGGUAUACUGGUUGUCUUGAGCCACUUAGGGGCAGUCGGAACAGACGGUGGAGCGGUGAAAUGCGUAGAUAUCAAGAGGAACACCUGAGGUGAAGACGGGUUGCUGGGCCGACACUGACGCUGAUGCGCGAAAGCCAGGGGAGCAAACGGG